CCUACGGGAGGCAGCAGUGAGGAAUAUUGGUCAAUGGACGAGAGUCUGAACCAGCCAAGUAGCGUGAAGGAUGACUGCCCUAUGGGUUGUAAACUUCUUUUAUCUGGGAAUAAAAUGUUCCACGUGUGGGAGUUUGUAUGUACCAUAUGAAUAAGGAUCGGCUAACUCCGUGCCAGCAGCCGCGGUAAUACGGAGGAUCCGAGCGUUAUCCGGAUUUAUUGGGUUUAAAGGGAGCGUAGGUGGAUUGUUAAGUUAGUUGUGAAAGUUUGGGGCUCAACCGUAAAAUUGCAGUUGAAACUGGCAGUCUUGAGUACAGUAGAGGUGGGCGGAAUGCGUGGUGUAGCGGUGAAAUGCUUAGAUAUCACGAAGAACUCCGAUUGCGAAGGCAGCUCACUGGACUGCAACUGACACUGAGGCUCGAAAGUGUGGGUAUCAAACAGGAUUAGAUACCCGUGUAGUC
rnacentral:rRNA from 1 species